GUUAAAGAGGCAGAGACCGGUAAUUGCGUAAAACUUAAACCUUUACCCCCCAGAGGUUCAAAUCCUCUCUUUAACA
rnacentral:tRNA from 1 species